UAUCCCAGCUUUACACUCCUAUCCUGCACAGUUCUCUCACAUCUUGGGAUCUCCCUUCUUCACACUGCUACAACACCUCUGAAUCCUUGGCACCUAAAGCACCUUAACGGGUGUUAGCUUGGUGGCUAAGGUUAGAUAAGCUAGGGGAUUAGGGGUUCAGGUUAGAUUGUUGUGGCUGCUUCACAUGAUGUAUUGUUGUCACUACCUUGCCCUUUGUGCUGCUGUCUGGGCCCAAUAAUGUUUGUACCAUGUUUUGUGCUGCUACCAUGUUGUGUUGCUACCAUGUUGUUGUCAUGUUGUAUUGCUACCAUGCUAUGUUGUUGUCUUAGGUCUCUCUUUGUGUAGUGUUGUGGUGUCUCUCUUUAUGUAGUGUUGUAUUGCUACCAUGUUGUGUUG